rnacentral:rRNA from 1 species
AAGCGCCGGCUAACUACGUGCCAGCAGCCGCGGUAAUACGUAGGGCGCGAGCGUUGUCCGGAAUUAUUGGGCGUAAAGAGCUUGUAGGCGGUUGGUCGCGUCUGCUGUGAAAGGCUGGGGCUUAACCCUGGUUUUGCAGUGGGUACGGGCUAACUAGAGUGCAGUAGGGGAGACUGGAAUUCCUGGUGUAGCGGUGGAAUGCGCAGAUAUCAGGAGGAACACCGAUGGCGAAGGCAGGUCACUGGGCUGUUACUGACGCUGAGGAGCGAAAGCGUGGGGAGCGAACAGGAUUAGAUACCCUGGUAGUCCACGCUGUAAACGUUGGGCACUAGGUGUGGGGGGCCUUUUCCGGGUUUUCCGCGCCGUAGCUAACGCAUUAAGUGCCCCGCCUGGGGAGUACGGCCGCAAGGCUAAAACUCAAAGGAAUUGACGGGGGCCCGCACAAGCGGCGGAGCAUGCGGAUUAAUUCGAUGCAACGCGAAGAACCUUACCAAGGCUUGACAUAUACUGGACUGCGUCAGAGAUGGCGUUUCCCUUCGGGGCUGGUAUACAGGUGGUGCAUGGUUGUCGUCAGCUCGUGUCGUGAGAUGUUGGGUUAAGUCCCGCAACGAGCGCAACCCUUGUCUCGUGUUGCCAGCACGUUGUGGUGGGGACUCGCGGGAGACUGCCGGGGUCAACUCGGAGGAAGGUGGGGAUGACGUCAAAUCAUCAUGCCCCUUAUGUCUUGGGCUUCACGCAUGCUACAAUGGCCGGUACAGAGGGUUGCGAUACUGUGAGGUGGAGCUAAUCCCUAAAAGCCGGUCUCAGUUCGGAUUGGGGUCUGCAACUCGACCCCAUGAAG